ACUAAUAAUGAUUGACAGGGAGCUAAAAUGGAGGAACCAAGUGGCAGAAUAAAUAGGUGUGAAUUUCCACAUUUAAUUUUAUUUUAACACCUCACAAAUACAUAUAUAAUAUAGGAACAACAACAUAUAAUAUUAAAAUGCUGGGAAGUAACAGCUCUUCGUUUAUGAAACGUGGGCAUAAACAUUUAUUUGUAACACAGAAAAAAUGACUUAUACACAUUAAUAUACCUCACUCUGUUCAUCUUUCAUUCUCUACAAUUCCUGCCUUGCUGACACACUGCUACUCUACCUAACACACAAUUUCCCAGUCUGUAUAAGCUGCUUAUCCAAUUAUUACUCCUUUCCCUUUCCAUUUUUUCUCUUUUUCAAAAAGUACACCUUUCCUUCCAAAUACCACUGCUAUGUAACUCAAUCUACAUUGCUCCUUUUUUACUUCCUGCACCCCAUGUUUCACACCAUGCAAUUUAUCACACAUCAACGUUUCCACUCCUUCCUCUAAAACCCAAAACCCAAGACUUAGAUUUAAGUCCUAUUCCCACCUUCUUUCUGGCCUUGCAUUUAGCAGCUGGGGAUGUGCCUCCUAAUUCUAUUCCCUCUGCUGCUCACCUCACUCACAACUACACCAAAACUACCAAAUAUCUCUUAUAUUAUAUAUCCUGUCACUCAACUUCAUCCUAUCCGUAUUCCCUGUCACUGCUCCUCCACCUCCU